UUACUUCCCGUCACCCGCCGCGCCAGGCCUUGGCCCAGGCCUGAGCCCGAAUCCAUGGCGGAGCAUGAAAGGGAGCCCACCCACCUUCGCCAUGGCUUGUAGUUUGCAGAACCUAUUUGCCGUGGAAGAUGAAUUUGAAGAUGAGGAUUUCUUGUCGGCUGUAGUGGACACUGAAAACAAGUUCUCCAGUUCACUCUCUGUAAAUCCAGGAUGCCUGAAACCUGUGUGUUCCAAGCCCGAAGCUGCCAAGCAGGCCCGGACAUCUGGGCAGCUGACUUUGUGCCCCACUCUUCCUGCAGGGGCUUCGAGCCUGUCAGCCCAGGGGUCCAGACUGCCUAUCCCUGGUGUGCCCAGGGCAGGAGGGGGUUCUCCUUCUAAGACAUCAACAUUCCUAAGACUGUCCCCUUCUCCCAGCUUAGCUGGGGGAGCUAGAGAUCUAGACAGAGUGACCCCCGAAGGAUUAACCACAGAACCUCAUGCACCAUUUUCUGUUGUGAACCCACACCCAGUGGCUGGUACCACUGUGACAAGUAAACAGGAUGUGUUCAAUAAUUCAUGCAUGGAGCUGAGGCAGAGAAGUUCAAGUGGACCUAUGAAAAGCCUGUUUCCCAGGCAGAAGGAGGACCCCAUGCAAGUCAAAAGGCCCCGGAUAUCUGAGUUGGGAGAAUCUUGUUGCCAAGGGUCAGUAGUCACCAGACUGGCUGAGCCCCUACUCUCGCAUCCCACCUCCCACCAUGGGACCCCACAGCUCAUUAUGAGACCCGGUGCUUCCAGCAGCCUUAUUCUCCCAUCUGGUUUACGAACUCCUACUCAAUCUACUCCCCGGCAAGCUGGGCCUAGGGGCAAUCAUCUCCAUGUGCCUCAGCCUCUCCAAGUUGCUAAAUGUUAUGCUCAGAACAAGUCUCAAAAUAGUUCCCUAACCCCUCCACCAUUCCAAUCUCCAGGCUCCUGGGAAAGUGGAAGACCUAGAGUUGUAGGGCUAGCUGUUCCCAAUCCAAACUCGUCUGUUUUUCCAGUGGCUAGGUCUGGCCAGAGACCCUUAGAAUCCCGAGUUCAGGUCUCUUCUGUUGAAUCUCUUGUCUCUACUCCAUCCACCCCCUGUACUUCCCUGGCAUCCUCGGGGAUUCUUCAGACCCCUAUCGUCACAAACCACCUUGUACAGCUAGUUACUGCUACCAGUCGGACACCUGGAACGCCUGCCCAUGUGUCCACACGAGCCAAAACACGCCGCUUUCCUGGACCAGCUGGGAUCUUGCCUCACCAGCACAGUGGAAAAAAUCUGGAGGAGAUCAUGAUUUCAACUCCUCAGACUCCAACUCAUGGUGCACUAGCUAAGUUCCGGACAGAGGAAGUACCUAGUUCUCAGCCCUCAGAAGAAGAUUUUGAGCAUGGCCCCUGGGUGACUAUGAAAGCUGACCUGGGACUAGAUGACCAAGACCCUGCCUGCUUCCUCCACACAUACAGUAUCGUCAUGGUAUUGCGGAAGGCUGCCCUGAAGCAACUUCCCAGGAACAAAGUGCCCACCAUGGCAGUGAUGAUCAAAUCCCUGAGCCGAAGUACAGUAGAUGCCAGUGUGGUGUUCAGAGAUCCUACAGGGGACAUGAGUCCAGGAAGAGGGUCAGUGGAUGGGAGGAACCUGAUGAGCCUACUCACAUGGAGAGAUGCAAGGUACAGUGCACCGGCUGCUGUUGGAAGAGAAACAGAACGAGCUGAAGACUGGCUCUGUCCUGCUGCUGAAGCAGAUUGGAGUGUUCUCACCAUCACUCCGAAAUCACUACCUCAAUGUGACACCCAACAACCUGGUCCAGAUUUACAGCCCAGAUUCAGGAGAUGGGAGAGUCCCCAGGAGCUCUCAGCCCUUUGCCCAGAUUCCCGGACCUGUCCUGUCAGAAUCUCCAUCUCAGCCUCCUGCUCCUGAGAGCUCCUGUAGUGCUCUUCACUGUAAUGGGAAACCAGGAGAGAAGCACAGGACGGCCAGAGGGGAGGCAGCUUCCAGAGAAGAGCUUCCUGAAGCAGAUGAUCUGGAUGGGCUUCUAGAGGAGCUGUCCGAAGACUUCUUCUCUGAGGACAGCGGCUGGUGAGGCAGGACCACGAGGAGCUGGCAUUGGCUUGUUUGUGGCAAGUCAAGCAUGGACAUGUCUAGCCUGGUGAAUGAGUGGAUGAAGGCAAGGCUGUGUUCUUGCCUUAGCAGAUAGAACCUUGUGAGCUUGUCAGCUGCCCCUCCACUGCCUGUUUCCUAGAGAGCUUUCUUCAUCUUCCAGGUCAGAGCAUCUUCUUCUUAACAGUUUCUAUCCCUGGAGACAAUGGGGGUCUGACCUUGAAAACAACCUAGCCACAGAAAGCGUCUGUUUUGAUCACAGACGGUUUUCCUAGUCCUCUUAUCACUUUGGUCUCCAUUCUGUGGAUAGUUGGAGAGACAGGAGCAAAUAGGGACAUGAUGCCCCUGAAUGUGGGCUUAGAAGACUAUUUGCCUCUAUCACUUCUCCACUUGGUGUUAAAUUAUCAGUUCGUUUUCCCCUCAGAACCAUGUCUUCUGCUACUCUCAUCCUGCCCCUGAAAAACUACUUCACUUAAGCGUGAGUUACUUAUUUUCCCCUAAAACAACAUCACUUGUGCAGGAGGCUUCUAGGGUUAGGGUCAGGGAAUUAGAGUAUUGUGUGCUAUAUUAUGAAACAAAGUAUGGUGACUCUCCUUGGACUCCAGGCUAUGCUAUUCUCCUGCCAAAUUCUCUUGUGACUUCAGCUCCCUUAGCUUCUUCAGUACAUCCUUGUGUGUUGCACCCAUCAUGAUCCUGGGAGCCAUAAUGUUGUGAGGGAGAGCCGGCCUUCCCAGUGAUUUCAGUGGUUUCCUCCCAAAUCAGGGACUGGUCAAGGAGAAGGAUGGGUCACAGUUCUUUAUAUUUGUCCCAUUCCCAAAAUGUCUCAGAGUUAAUGCAGUUGAGGAAAAUAGAAUUGGCCUAACACCUGCUGCUCGUUGCCAGGAAAGGAGAGGAUCUAAAGGCCGUCUGGGGCUAGGUUUGGGUGACCAACUUGCCCUCAGGGACCACCUCAUUCAGGCCUGGUGCCUCUCUCUAAAACUUCAUCUCCCCUUUUCUAAAAUGCAUCUCCAUUGGGAGAUUAAAGAGAAAAAAGAAAAAGCUAUAGGGGGUGGAGGAGGCAGUCAGUCAUUCAAUAAGCAUUUCUGAAGUUCC